UGUUGGAUAUGGCAGCUUCACAAGUCUUGAAAUCAGGUUGAUCCUUGAAAAUUUCUUGUUUAAACAAAUAUAUUCUUGAAUUUAAAAGUCAAUAAGCAUUUUUAUAUAAAGAAAUAUCAUAAAUAAUGCACAGGUCUCUAAGGCUGACUAAUGGAAGUGGUAAGGACAGUUCCUGCAAGACCUUCUCCAAGUUCACUGAGAAGAACAGAACUGAAGUCAGCUUUUCUCACCAAACACCCAGGAACCUGCCUAAACCUUCAGUACCUGCAACAGCAACAUCAUCCAUCUUAAUUCACAAAUCUGUUCCAAUUUAUUAAAGAUCAGCCAUCCUGGCCCUUGCUCUUAAA